UACGUAGGGGGCAAGCGUUGUCCGGAUUUAUUGGGCGUAAAGAGCGUGUAGGCGGCCACACAGGUCAGCUGUGAAAACUCGAGGCUCAACCUCGAGACGUCGGUUGAAACCGUAUGGCUAGAGUCCGGAAGAGGAGAGUGGAAUUCCCGGUGUAGCGGUGAAAUGCGCAGAUAUCGGGAAGAACACCCGUGGCGAAGGCGGCUCUCUGGGACGGUACUGACGCUGAGACUCGAAAGCGUGGGGAGCGAACAGG
rnacentral:rRNA from 1 species